UACGAAGGGGGCUAGCGUUGCUCGGAAUUACUGGGCGUAAAGGGCGCGUAGGCGGCACUGUUAGUCAGGCGUGAAAGUCCUGGGCUCAACCUGGGAACUGCGCUUGAUACGGCAGAGCUAGAGGAUGGAAGAGGCUCGCGGAAUUCCCAGUGUAGAGGUGAAAUCCGUAGAUAUUGGGAAGAACACCGGUGGCGAAGGCGGCGAGCUGGUCCAUUACUGACGCUGAGGCGCGACAGCGUGGGGAGCAAACAGG
rnacentral:rRNA from 1 species